GGUUAAGCGACUAAGCGUACACGGUGGAUGCCCUGGCAGUCAGAGGCGAUGAAGGACGUGCUAAUCUGCGAAAAACGUCGGUAAGGUGAUAUGAACCGUUAUAACCGGCGAUGUCCGAAUGGGGAAACCCAGUGCAAUUCGUUGCACUAUCGUUAACUGAAUACAUAGGUUAACGAGGCGAACCGGGGGAACUGAAACAUCUAAGUACCCCGAGGAAAAGAAAUCAACCGAGAUUCCCCCAGUAGCGGCGAGCGAACGGGGAGCAGCCCAGAGUCUGAAUCAGCUUGUGUGUUAGUGGAACGGUCUGGAAAGUCCGACGGUACAGGGUGAUAGUCCCGUACACCAAAAUGCACAGGCUGUGAACUCGAAGAGUAGGGCGGGACACGUGGUAUCCUGUCUGAAUAUGGGGGGACCAUCCUCCAAGGCUAAAUACUCCUGACUGACCGAUAGUGAACCAGUACCGUGAGGGAAAGGCGAAAAGAACCCCGGCGAGGGGAGUGAAAAAGAACCUGAAACCGUGUACGUACAAGCAGUGGGAGCACCUUCGGGUGUGACUGCGUACCUUUUGUAUAAUGGGUCAGCGACUUAUAUUCUGUAGCAAGGUUAACCGUAUAGGGGAGCCGCAGGGAAACCGAGUCUUAACUGGGCGUUAAGUUGCAGGGUAUAGACCCGAAACCCGGUGAUCUAGCCAUGGGCAGGUUGAAGGUUGGGUAACACUAACUGGAGGACCGAACCGACUAAUGUUGAAAAAUUAGCGGAUGACUUGUGGCUGGGGGUGAAAGGCCAAUCAAACCGGGAGAUAGCUGGUUCUCCCCGAAAGCUAUUUAGGUAGCGCCUCGUGAACUCAUCUUCGGGGGUAGAGCACUGUUUCGGCUAGGGGGUCAUCCCGACUUACCAACCCGAUGCAAACUACGAAUACCGAAGAAUGUUAUCACGGGAGACACACGGCGGGUGCUAACGUCCGUCGUGAAGAGGGAAACAACCCAGACCGCCAGCUAAGGUCCCAAAGUCAUGGUUAAGUGGGAAACGAUGUGGGAAGGCACAGACAGCCAGGAUGUUGGCUUAGAAGCAGCCAUCAUUUAAAGAAAGCGUAAUAGCUCACUGGUCGAGUCGGCCUGCGCGGAAGAUGUAACGGGGCUAAACCAUGCACCGAAGCUGCGGCAGCGACACUAUGUGUUGUUGGGUAGGGGAGCGUUCUGUAAGCCUGCGAAGGUGACCUGUGAGGGUUGCUGGAGGUAUCAGAAGUGCGAAUGCUGACAUAAGUAACGAUAAAGCGGGUGAAAAGCCCGCUCGCCGGAAGACCAAGGGUUCCUGUCCAACGUUAAUCGGGGCAGGGUGAGUCGACCCCUAAGGCGAGGCCGAAAGGCGUAGUCGAUGGGAAACAGGUUAAUAUUCCUGUACUUGGUGUUACUGCGAAGGGGGGACGGAGAAGGCUAUGUUAGCCGGGCGACGGUUGUCCCGGUUUAAGCAUGUAGGCUGGUUAUCCAGGCAAAUCCGGAUAAUCAAGGCUGAGGUGUGAUGACGAGGCACUACGGUGCUGAAGUAACAAAUGCCCUGCUUCCAGGAAAAGCCUCUAAGCAUCAGGUAACAUCAAAUCGUACCCCAAACCGACACAGGUGGUCAGGUAGAGAAUACCAAGGCGCUUGAGAGAACUCGGGUGAAGGAACUAGGCAAAAUGGUGCCGUAACUUCGGGAGAAGGCACGCUGGUGUGUAGGUGAAGUCCCUGCGGAUGGAGCUGAGACCAGUCGAAGAUACCAGCUGGCUGCAACUGUUUAUUAAAAACACAGCACUGUGCAAACACGAAAGUGGACGUAUACGGUGUGACGCCUGCCCGGUGCCGGAAGGUUAAUUGAUGGGGUUAUCCGUAAGGAGAAGCUCUUGAUCGAAGCCCCGGUAAACGGCGGCCGUAACUAUAACGGUCCUAAGGUAGCGAAAUUCCUUGUCGGGUAAGUUCCGACCUGCACGAAUGGCGUAAUGAUGGCCAGGCUGUCUCCACCCGAGACUCAGUGAAAUUGAACUCGCUGUGAAGAUGCAGUGUACCCGCGGCAAGACGGAAAGACCCCGUGAACCUUUACUAUAGCUUGACACUGAACAUUGAGCCUUGAUGUGUAGGAUAGGUGGGAGGCUUUGAAGCGUGGACGCCAGUCUGCGUGGAGCCAACCUUGAAAUACCACCCUUUAAUGUUUGAUGUUCUAACGUUGGCCCCUGACCGGGGUUGCGGACAGUGUCUGGUGGGUAGUUUGACUGGGGCGGUCUCCUCCCAAAGCGUAACGGAGGAGCACGAAGGUUAGCUAAUCCUGGUCGGACAUCAGGAGGUUAGUGCAAUGGCAUAAGCUAGCUUGACUGCGAGCGUGACGGCGCGAGCAGGUGCGAAAGCAGGUCAUAGUGAUCCGGUGGUUCUGAAUGGAAGGGCCAUCGCUCAACGGAUAAAAGGUACUCCGGGGAUAACAGGCUGAUACCGCCCAAGAGUUCAUAUCGACGGCGGUGUUUGGCACCUCGAUGUCGGCUCAUCACAUCCUGGGGCUGAAGUAGGUCCCAAGGGUAUGGCUGUUCGCCAUUUAAAGUGGUACGCGAGCUGGGUUUAGAACGUCGUGAGACAGUUCGGUCCCUAUCUGCCGUGGGCGCUGGAGAAUUGAGGGGGGCUGCUCCUAGUACGAGAGGACCGGAGUGGACGCAUCACUGGUGUUCGGGUUGUCAUGCCAAUGGCACUGCCCGGUAGCUAAAUGCGGAAGAGAUAAGUGCUGAAAGCAUCUAAGCACGAAACUUGCCCCGAGAUGAGUUCUCCCUGAGACUUUAAGUCUCCUGAAGGAACGUUAAAGACGAUGACGUUGAUAGGCCGGGUGUGUAAGCGCAGCGAUGCGUUGAGCUAACCGGUACUAAUGAACCGUGAGGCUUAACCUU
rnacentral:rRNA from 1 species